rnacentral:rRNA from 1 species
UUUCCAUGCAGUUCGAACGGCAGCACGGGGGCAACCCUGGUUGGCGAGUGGCGAACGGGUGAGUAAUACAUCGGAACGUGCCCAGUCGUGGGGGAUAACGUAGCGAAAGCUACGCUAAUACCGCAUACGAUCUACGGAUGAAAGCGGGGGAUCGCAAGACCUCGCGCGAUUGGAGCGGCCGAUGGCAGAUUAGGUAGUUGGUGGGGUAAAGGCUCACCAAGCCGACGAUCUGUAGCUGGUCUGAGAGGACGACCAGCCACACUGGGACUGAGACACGGCCCAGACUCCUACGGGAGGCAGCAGUGGGGAAUUUUGGACAAUGGGCGCAAGCCUGAUCCAGCCAUUCCGCGUGCAGGAUGAAGGCCCUCCGGUUGUAAACUGCUUUUGUACGGAACGAAAAGGCCUUUUCUAAUACACAGGGCUCAUGACGGUACCGUAAGAAUAAGCACCGGCUAACUACGUGCCCACAGCCGCGGUUAAUACGUAGGGUGCAAGCGUUAAUCGGAAUUACUGGGCGUAAAGCGUGCGCAGGCGGUGAUGUAAACAGGGUGUGAAAUCCCCCAGGCUUAACCUGGCAACUUAUUUGUUAACUUCCACCCCUGGACUGCGCCACAU